rnacentral:rRNA from 1 species
AUUGAACGCUGGCGGCAUGCUUUACACAUGCAAGUCGAACGGCAGCACGGGUGCUUGCACCUGGUGGCGAGUGGCGAACGGGUGAGUAAUGCAUCGGAACGUGCCCAUGAGUGGGGGAUAGCCCGGCGAAAGCCGGAUUAAUACCGCAUACGCCCUUAGGGGGAAAGCGGGGGAUCUUCGGACCUCGCGCUAUUGGAGCGGCCGAUGUCGGAUUAGCUAGUAGGUGAGGUAAAGGCUCACCUAGGCGACGAUCCGUAGCUGGUCUGAGAGGAUGAUCAGCCACACUGGGACUGAGACACGGCCCAGACCCCUACGGGAGGCAGCAGUGGGGAAUUUUGGGACAAUGGGCGCAAGCCUGAUCCAGCCAUGCCGCGUGAGUGAAGAAGGCCUCGG